CAGAGAGUUACCUUGUCCUUUCCACCAUGUAACGUCACAGCAAGAACACAGCCAUCUGUGAACCAGGAAGCCCUCAACAGAUGUCAAAUCUGCUGGCACCUUGAUCUUGGAUUUCCCAGCCUCCAGAACUAAGAGAAAUUCAAGCCCAGAGGGAUCGUGCAACAUUCUCAGGAUUUCACAGGAAAUGGAAAGGCAGGAAAAACAACCAAAGAAGCAAAUCGCCAUAAUGAACAUUCUCUACUCUUCAGCACACUGCAGUUCCACCUGUGCUGAGUCUCGGUCUCUUUUAAGAGCUUGCAAUUCAUCAAAACAUUUGCCUUCCUAACUGAGUCACAGGAACCAUGCUUUCAUAAGAAGAACAUAUGGAUUCUCAAAGAUUAAUAAGUUGUCUUGAAUAUCUUGAAUUGAUAAAUUCACAAAGAGCCACAAAGAAAAUGAAUGAAGGUUAUAAAUACUAAUAAAUAUCAGAAGACCCCAACUUCAAGUGACUGCAAAGUCAACGAAAAUGCCAAUAUGGAACCCAGUCUCUUUGAUAAAAUUUAAUGAAAACUUUCAGAAAGCCAGAACUAACUACGCAACAUAGCUCCUUGUAUUUAAAUUUCUUUGACUUCUUUCUAUAAAUAUUUGUUUCAUCUCAAAUUGUCUGAAUUUUCUUGAAACCACAACACAUGCUUACACAUUCCUCAUCACCCUAGACUCAAACACACAUCCAGUCCAAUUCCACAUUUAAGUGUGAUGACAGGGAACAAGACCUUCUAAUUUUUAGUUUUAGCACUUUUAUCACUAUUAUAAAGUAGUGCAAUGCCUGACAUAUCAUGGGCAUCGAAUAACUACAUCUUCUCAUUUCACAACACGGGUGAUUUUUUGGCAAACCAUUCCAAUUUAGAUUACGACUGUAUGCAUUAGAUCAUAAUAAUGAGUGAAUUCAACUUAUACUCCAUAUUCCUAGAAGAAUAAAAACGGUUCUCUAGUAUGCUAGGAGAAUAUAUAUUACUAAAAUAUUACGAGAUGAUGGAAUUCUUUAUCUUUUUAAAAUUUUCUUACCACUGUGGCAACAUAUCACUGUCACAGCUGUCAUUGGCAUUGUCAUGCCAUUAAUCUCUAACUCAGGCGGCCCUUGGAUGCCCCAGGAGAUCUGGCAAUAGGAAGAAAUCUUAGUGACUGCCCCAAUAAGGAAAAAACUGUCAGUCUUGGGACAAGAAAAAAAAAAGCCACAAUAACUAGAUUGAGAAAAAGUUCUACAUCAUCAGGAAAUAAACAUACCUCUAUUGCCUUUUAAAUCCUUUGUCUUUUGGUGCAAGACGCCAUCUCUGCAUUAAUUAGCAUUUGUGUAUGAACCAGGCGUACAUGCUUCGUUCUUAAUAUGACACAUCAUAUCUC